GCAGGGGACCUUCGGGCCUUGCGCUAUCAGAUGAGCCUAGGUCGGAUUAGCUAGUUGGUGAGGUAAUGGCUCACCAAGGCGACGAUCCGUAACUGGUCUGAGAGGAUGAUCAGUCACACUAGGAACUGAGACACGGUCCAGACUCCUACGGGAGGCAGCAGUGGGGAAUAUUGGACAAUGGGCGAAAGCCUGAUCCAGCCAUGCCGCGUGUGUGAAGAAGGUCUUCGGAUUGUAAAGCACUUUAAGUUGGGAGGAAGGGCUGCUGGUUAAUACCCUGCAGUUUUGACGUUACCAACAGAAUAAGCACCGGCUAACUUCGUGCCAGCAGCCGCGGUAAUACGAAGGGUGCAAGCGUUAAUCGGAAUUACUGGGCGUAAAGCGCGCGUAGGUGGUUUUGUAAGUUGGAGGUUGGGAACUGCCUCCAAAA
rnacentral:rRNA from 1 species